CCUGACGGAGCAAUACCGCGUGAGGGAGGAAGGCUCUUGGGUCGUAAACCUCUUUUCUCAGGGAAGAACACAAUGACGGUACCUGAGGAAUAAGCAUCGGCUAACUCCGUGCCAGCAGCCGCGGUAAUACGGAGGAUGCAAGCGUUAUCCGGAAUGAUUGGGCGUAAAGCGUCCGCAGGUGGCUAUGUAAGUCUGCUGUUAAAGAGUCUAGCUCAACUAGAUAAGAGCAGUGGAAACUACAUGGCUAGAGUGCGUUCGGGGCAGAGGGAAUUCCUGGUGUAGCGGUGAAAUGCGUAGAGAUCAGGAAGAACACCGGUGGCGAAGGCGCUCUGCUAGGCCGCAACUGACACUGAGGGACGAAAGCUAGGGGAGCGAAUGGGAUUAGAUACCCCAGUAGUCCUAGCCGUAAACGAUGGAUACUAGGCGUGGCUUGUAUCGACCCGAGCCGUGCCGUAGCUAACGCGUUAAGUAUCCCGCCUGGGGAGUACGCCGGCAACGGCG
rnacentral:rRNA from 1 species